rnacentral:rRNA from 1 species
GUGAGGAAUAUUGGUCAAUGGGCGCGAGCCUGAACCAGCCAAGUCGCGUGAGGGACGACGGUCCUACGGAUUGUAAACCUCUUUAGGCGGGGAGUAAUGUGCUCUACGAGUAGAGUAGUGAGAGUACCCGCAGAAUAAGCAUCGGCUAACUCCGUGCCAGCAGCCGCGGUAAUACGGAGGAUGCGAGCGUUAUCCGGAUUUAUUGGGUUUAAAGGGUGCGCAGGCUGUGCAUCAAGUCAGCGGUAAAAUCUCGGGGCUCAACCCCGUUUAGCCGUUGAAACUGGUGUGCUGGAGUGUGCGCGAGGAAGGCAGAAUGCGCGGUGUAGCGGUGAAAUGCAUAGAUAUUGCGCAGAACUCCGAUUGCGAAGGCAGCCUUCCAGUGCAUGACUGACGCUGAGGCACGAAAGCGUGGGUAUCGAACAGGAUUAGAAACCCGAGUAGUCC